GUUCCCUACGGGGGGCAGCAGUGAGGAAUAUUGGUCAAUGGGAGAGAUCCUGAACCAGCCAAGCCGCGUGAGGGAAGACGGCCCUAUGGGUUGUAAACCUCUUUUGUCGGAGAAAAAAACCCGGGACGUGUCCCGGACUGCGUGUAUCCGAAGAAAAAGAAUCGGCUAACUCCGUGCCAGCAGCCGCGGUAAUACGGAGGAUGAGAGCGUUAUCCGGAUUUAUUGGGUUUAAAGGGUGAGUAGGCGGUCCGUUAAGUCAGCGGU
rnacentral:rRNA from 1 species